rnacentral:rRNA from 1 species
CCUACGGGGGGCAGCAGUGAGGAAUAUUGGUCAAUGGACGCAAGUCUGAACCAGCCAUGCCGCGUGCAGGAUGACGGUCCUAUGGAUUGUAAACUGCUUUUGUACAGGAAGAAACACUCCCUCGUGAGGGAGCUUGACGGUACUGUAAGAAUAAGGAUCGGCUAACUCCGUGCCAGCAGCCGCGGUAAUACGGAGGAUCCAAGCGUUAUCCGGAAUCAUUGGGUUUAAAGGGUCCGUAGGCGGUUUAGUAAGUCAGUGGUGAAAUCCCAUCGCUCAACGGUGGAACGGCCAUUGAUACUGCUAGACUUGAAUUAUUAGGAAGUAACUAGAAUAUGUAGUGUAGCGGUGAAAUGCUUAGAGAUUACAUGGAAUACCAAUUGCGAAGGCAGGUUACUACUAAUAUAUUGACGCUGAUGGACGAAAGCGUGGGUAGCGAACAGGAUUAGAUACCCCAGUAGUC